UACGUAGGUGGCAAGCGUUGUCCGGAAUCACUGGGCGUAAAGCGCGCGCAGGCGGCGAUCUACGUCUGGGGUGAAAGCCCGGAGCUCAACUCCGGGACUGCCUUGGAUACGGGAUCGCUUGAGGAUUGGAGAGGCAAGUGGAAUUCCCGGUGUAGCGGUGAAAUGCGCAGAUAUCGAGAGGAACACCGGUGGCGAAGGCGGCCAACUGGACGAAUACUGACGCUGAGACUCGAAAGCGUGGGGAGCAAACAGG
rnacentral:rRNA from 1 species